AGAGUUUGAUCCUGGCUCAGGAUGAACGCUAGCGGCAGACUUAACACAUGCAAGUCGAGGGGCAGCACGGGUAGCAAUACUUGGUGGCGACCGGCGCAAGGGUGCGUAACGCGUGAGCAACAUGCCCGUAUCAGGGGGAUAAUCCAUGGAAACGUGGUCUAAUACCCCAUAGUAAGUUUUUGGGGCAUCUCAAAGAUUUUAAAGCUUUGGUGGAUACGGAUUGGCUCGCGUGACAUUAGCUAGAUGGUAAGGUAACGGCUUACCAAGGCUAUGACGCCUAUCUGGUCUGAGAGGAUGAUCAGACACACUGGAACUGAGACACGGUCCAGACUCCUACGGGAGGCAGCAGUGGGGAAUAUUACACAAUGGAGGAAACUCUGAUGUAGCAACGCCGCGUGGAGGAUGACACAUUUCGGUGCGUAAACUCCUUUUAUAUGGGAAGAUAAUGACGGUACCAUAUGAAUAAGCACCGGCUAACUCCGUGCCAGCAGCCGCGGUAAUACGGAGGGUGCAAGCGUUACUCGGAAUCACUGGGCGUAAGCGCGCGCAGGCGGCCCGUUAAGUUGAUGUGAAUCUAUGGCUCACCAUAGAACUGCAUCAAACUGAUGGGCUAGAGUCUGGGAGGGAGAUGAUUAGUGUGUAGGGGUAAAUCCGUAAAGAUCACUAGGAAUACCAAAAGCGAAGCGAUCUUCUGGAACAGUACUGACGCUGAGGCGCGAAAGCGUGGGGAGCAAACAGGAUUAGAUACCCUGGUAGUCCACGCCCUAAACUAUGAAUGUUAGUCGUCGGGGGGCUCGUCCUUUCGGUGAUGCAGCUAACGCAUUAACAUUCCGCCUGGGGAGUACGGUCGCAAGAUUAAACUCAAGGAAUAGACGGGACCCGCACAAGUGUGGAGCAUGUGGUUUAUUCGAGAUACGCGAGACCUUACCUGGCCUUGACAUGAUAGAUCUGCUAGAGAUAGCGGAGUGCCCUUCGGGGAACUUGAAAACAGGUGCUGCACGGCUGUCGUCAGCUCGUGUCGUGAGAUGUUGGGUUAAGUCCCGCAACGAGCGCAACCCUCGUCACUAGUUACUAACGGUUCGGCCGAGGACUCUAGUGAGACUGCCUUCGUAAGGAGGAGGAAGGUGAGGACGACGUCAAGUCAUCAUGGCCCUUACGGCCAGGGCGACACACGUGCUACAAUGGGAUGUACAAUGAGACGCAAUACCGCGAGGUGGAGCAAAUCUAUAAAGCAUCUCUCAGUUCGGAUUGUAGUCUGCAACUCGACUACAUGAAGCUGGAAUCACUAGUAAUCGUAGAUCAGCCAUGCUACGGUGAAUACGUUCCCGGGUCUUGUACUCACCGCCCGUCACACCAUGGGAGUUGAUUUCACCCGAAGCGGGGAAGCUAAACUGGCUACCCUCCACGGUGGAAUCAGCGACUGGGGUGAAGUCGUAACAAGGUAACC
rnacentral:rRNA from 1 species